ACCGGCGGCUCGAGUGGUGGCCACUAUUACUGGGCUUAAAGCGUUCGUAGCUGGGUUGUUAAGUCUCUUGGGAAAUCCACCGGCUCAACCGAAAGGCGACCCAGGGAUACUGGCAUGCUAGGGACCGGGAGAGGUGAGGGGUACUCCAGGGGUAGGAGUGAAAUCCUGUAAUCCUUGGGGGACCACCUGUGGCGAAGGCGUCUCACCAGAACGGCUCCGACAGUGGGGAACGAAAGCUGGGGGAGCAAACCG
rnacentral:rRNA from 1 species